rnacentral:lncRNA from 1 species
UAUAGUAGUACUAUUUUGAAUUAACGGUAUAACGCUCCAAUAAUUGCAUAUCGGGUGGAAAAAUAAUUCUGAUUAGAAUAUAUGAGACUUACACGCUGGUGAUAAAAACUAAACUUAAGUAUUUUGGGCCGAUGGUUUGGUCUAAUGAGCUAUUAUUGCUAGCAGGUCGGAUCGUUGCAGGCCCAACAAAUUAUUAGUUCGAGUGGCUUGGAUCGUUACAGUUGGUAUCAGAAUUCGGUGCGCGUCUAAUUUAUAAAAUUUUUCUAAGUUUUUUGGAUAAUUGAGAUUAGAAAAUUAAUAGGAAAUAGAG